GCGAGUGUAGCUUAGUUGGUAGAGCACCACCUUGCCAAGGUGGAUGUCGAGGGUUCGAGUCCCUUCGCUCGCACCA
rnacentral:tRNA from 1 species